UGGGGAAUUUUGGACAAUGGGCGAAAGCCUGAUCCAGCCAUUCCGCGUGAGUGAAGAAGGCCUUCGGGUUGUAAAGCUCUUUCGCAAGGAAAGAAAACUUACCCCCUAAUACGGGGUGAGGUUGACGGUACCUUGAUAAGAAGCACCGGCUAACUACGUGCCAGCAGCCGCGGUAAUACGUAGGGUGCGAGCGUUAAUCGGAAUUACUGGGCGUAAAGCGUGCGCAGGCGGUUUGAUAAGUCUGAUGUGAAAUCCCCGGGCUCAACCUGGGAACUGCGUUGGAAACUGUCAGGCUAGAGUAUGGGAGAGGGAGGUAGAAUUCCACGUGUAGCAGUGAAAUGCGUAGAGAUGUGGAGGAAUACCGAUGGCGAAGGCAGCCUCCUGGCCUAAUACUGACGCU
rnacentral:rRNA from 1 species